UACGUAGGGGGCGAGCGUUGUCCGGAAUUAUUGGGCGUAAAGAGCUUGUAGGCGGUUUGUCGCGUCUGCUGUGAAAAUUCGAGGCUCAACCUCGAACUUGCGGUGGAUACGGGCAGACUAGAGUGUGGUAGGGGAGACUGGAAUUCCUGGUGUAGCGGUGAAAUGCGCAGAUAUCAGGAGGAACACCAGUUGCGAAGGCAGCUCGCUGGGACAUUACUGACGCUGAGACGCGAAAGCGUGGGGAGCAAACAGG
rnacentral:rRNA from 1 species